GCACUGGUGGCUUAGAGGUAGAAUUCUUGCCUUCCAUGCAGAAAACCUGGGUUUGAUUCCUGGCCAGUGCA
rnacentral:tRNA from 1 species